GAUCCUGGCUCAGAUUGAACGCUGGCGGCAGGCCUAACACAUGCAAGUCGAACGGUAACAGGAAGCAGCUUGCUGCUUCGCUGACGAGUGGCGGACGGGUGAGUAAUGUCUGGGAAACUGCCUGAUGGAGGGGGGAUAACUACUGGAAACGGUAGCUAAUACCGCAUAACGUCGCAAGACCAAAGAGGGGGACCUCGGCCGUCCUUGCCACUCGGAUGUGCCCACGAUGGGAGUUAGCUAGUAGG
rnacentral:rRNA from 1 species